GUGCUGACUAAUGUAUCGGGAAAUUCAAUACUCAUUUAUGUGGUUACUGGCACAUGAGGAACUUAACCAAACGUAAAAUAAAAAUAAAAAAGAAAAUGUUUUUUAUAAAAUCUUUCAACUCAUAUCACGUCGUAUGUUUUAUCGGUACCUGUACGUGUUCAUAGCGCAUCUGGUGUUAAGCAGUGGUCACAGCCCGUAAAAAUAACAACGUAAACGCGCCACCGAUAUGAGACGUCUCAAAAGGUAGAAGAGGCCGAGAAGGGGUUCCGAUCGAUGGUACAGAAGAAAAUAACGAUAGCGAGUAAAAGAAAAUUAAAGAAAUUCUACCCUAGUAUAUAUUAAAUCGCAUGUAAUAACGAUAUUAUUAUGGAUUAGAAAUAAAUGGGCUUUAUUAUUAUUA